rnacentral:lncRNA from 1 species
CACAAAAGCAAAACACAUUCAAACUACUAUGCGAAAAAAAGAAAGAAUAAUUCUACGAUUAUAAUCAAUAUUAUGAAUGAGAGUUCUAUCAUAAAGAAAAAUUCAAAUGUGAAUCUGAUAAUUAUUGUCCUAUGUGUAUGGAAAAGUACUUCCACGUUGUUGGAACAUAAUUUGGUCUUGGAAAAUUGAAUUGCGUGCUUUCAAUUUCAAAGGAUGCUCACCACCCAAACAAACACGUUAAAAGAGCGAAGACUUCUUAACUCGAUUUGUUUCUUUUCCUUUCUUUCAAUUCCUCAGCUGGGAAACAUAAAAAAGAAAAAAAAGAUAAAGAUAAAAUCUACAAUUAAUCAAAUGAGUUUUGAGAAGGAUUUUUUUGUUGAGUGAGAUUAAAAUGAUUUUGGUUGAAUGAGAUGAAAGUUCUGAAAAUUGGUAAUCAGAUUUUGAGAAUUAGUUGGAUUUUUGUUUAAUGGGUUUUAUUUUGAAAAAAAAUUGAGAACAUUAUAAAAUGGAAAAAAAUCUGAAAAAUUAAUACUUCAAACUUGAGAUUUAUAGAGAUUUGAUGUAAUCUAUGUCUUACUUGAUUGUAGAAAUAAUGGGAAGAGGGGUUGUUUCAAGAAAAUGAUAGAGUUUAUUGAGAUGAUUAAGAAAAUGACGAUUGUUGUUAACAAAUUUUUAGGUUUUUGUCAUGAAGGUCAUAUUGUUGAAGAUGAUGAAGACGUUGGAGAUCAUCUUAUUUCAAUUUAGUCCAUAAUACCACAUCACACGAUCCUAAGUCAUGAACCAUUAUGACAUCGAGCUGCACAUACAGGGACCAAACUGGUUGCUUUUCCAUAUUAUUUACUUUCAAUUUGGUCUCUACGACACAUCAUUCAUUUUGUUCAGAUUUCAUGACUUCAAGCCACUUCUCAGAUUCAGGACUAGUAUUGGUAAGUCAGAGGCUCAUCUUGCUCCAUAAACAAUGCAUCAGUUUGUUCUG